rnacentral:rRNA from 1 species
CCUACGGGGGGCAGCAGUGAGGAAUAUUGGUCAAUGGACGAGAGUCUGAACCAGCCAAGUAGCGUGAAGGAUGACUGCCCUAUGGGUUGUAAACUUCUUUUAUAAAGGAAUAAAACGAGGCACGUGUGCCUUUUUGCAUGUACUUUAUGAAUAAGGAUCGGCUAACUCCGUGCCUGCAGCCGCGGUAAUACGGAGGAUCCGAGCGUUAUUCGGAUUUAUUGGGUUUAAAGGGAGCGUAGAUGGGUUGUUAAGUCAGUUGUGAAAGUUUGCGGCUCAACCGUAAAAUUGCAAUUGAUACUGGCAGUCGUGAGUACAGUUGAGGUAGGCGGAAUCCGUGGUGUAGCGGUGAAAUGCUUAGAUAUCACGAAGAACCCCGAUUGCGAAGGCAGCUUACUAAACUGUGACUGACAUUGAUGCUCGAAAGUGUGGGUAUCAAACAGGAUUAGAUACCCGUGUAGUC